GCCUGGGUGGCUCAGUUGGUUAAGCGUCCGACUUCAGCUCAGAUCACGAUCUCACAGUUCAUGGGUUUGAGCCCCACAUCAGGCU
rnacentral:tRNA from 1 species